AUUGAACGCUGGCGGCAGGCCUAACACAUGCAAGUCGAGCGGAUGACGGGAGCUUGCUCCUUGAUUCAGCGGCGGACGGGUGAGUAAUGCCUAGGAAUCUGCCUGGUAGUGGGGGACAACGUUUCGAAAGGAACGCUAAUACCGCAUACGUCCUACGGGAGAAAGCAGGGGACCUUCGGGCCUUGCGCUAUCAGAUGAGCCUAGGUCGGAUUAGCUAGUUGGUGAGGUAAUGGCUCACCAAGGCGACGAUCCGUAACUGGUCUGAGAGGAUGAUCAGUCACACUGGAACUGAGACACGGUCCAGACUCCUACGGGAGGCAGCAGUGGGGAAUAUUGGACAAUGGGCGAAAGCCUGAUCCAGCCAUGCCGCGUGUGUGAAGAAGGUCUUCGGAUUGUAAAGCACUUUAAGUUGGGAGGAAGGGCAGUAAGCUAAUACCUUGUUGUUUUGACGUUACCGACAGAAUAAGCACCGGCUAACUCUGUGCCAGCCGCCGCGGUAA
rnacentral:rRNA from 1 species